GACGGGCGGAGCUUAUACCGACCCCAAACAAUUUUGUUGAUAAUGGUAAAUGCCCAUAAGCAAUUUUUCAUUUAGUGUUCCCGUGGUUUAUUUGAUAAAAAAAUAAGACUUUUCAAUUGAAUAUUUUGUUGGAAAAACGUACUAUUUAAGAGCUUUUUAUUAGUUGUUUCCCAGGUUUUUAAGAUCUAGGACUGCUUCAGAAUGGGUAUAUGCUUUGUUCCAGACUGUAAACAUUACAGUUCAAAGCAUCCAUGUGUUUUUUCGGUUCCUAAAAAACAAGACCCAGAGGAAUAGAUGGAUUUCUCUCAUAAGGAAGGGAACUGUAAAAAACCUUGUGAUCGAGCUACUACCAGGACCCUCAACGGAACCACUACCAGGUCCUUCAACCAAACUACUGCCAGGGUCUUCAAAAUGAGAUCAUGAAGUGACUCAAAUUAAACUUGAUGCUUCACUACUGAGUCCAUCAUCUGCAUUUCAAGAUGCUGAGAAUUACUUUUUGCGGCAGCAGGUGGUUGAAUUAACAGAGAAGCUGGAAAAGUUAUCAACAAGGUUCAGCUAUGAAAUUGUGGAGAACAAAGGUGCUCAUGUACUAAUGUAUACUUGUAUUCCAACCAAUGAGCUGUUCAUGUUUCUUUUUGAACUAAUGGACAGCAUUAAAUUAAAAUAUUGUGCUGGAUGGAAUGUUCAAAUCGUUCCUAAAAUUGGUCAACUGUUUAUGACCUUAAUGAAGCUAAGGCUUAAUCUUCCACAUGAAAAUUUGAGUAUUAGAUUUAGUUGUAGUACAGCUACAGUGACCAAUAUUAUAAUUAUGUGGAUCUAUGCUCUACAUGAAGUCCUUUCCAAUAAUUUGAUGAAAACUAUAUCAUCAAGACUACAGAAUCAGGCCUGCCUCCCUAUUGCUUUUACGAAUUUUAAAAAAUGUAGAAUAAUUUUGGAUUGCACCGAAAUUGUGUUGCACCAAACGGUGUAAUCACUUUUGUUAGCAAGGCUUAUCCAGGGUCUACAUCUGAUAAAAAAAUUGUUGAGGAGAGUAAGGUUCUAGAUCAGAUGGUGGCUGGAGAUUUGAUAUUAGCAGAUAAAGUUUUCUUGAUUAAGGAACUUCUCCCUAUAGGAGUAUCAUUAAAUAUAUCUCCAUUUUUAAUUAACAACACCACAGUUUACAGAAUCCCAAGUAUAUGUAACUCAGCAAAUUGCAAAGGCUAGAAUUCAUGUCAAACGGGCCAUCAGGAGAAUAAAGUGUAUUUUGUAGCAAGUUCCAUCAUAUUAUAUAUCACAAAUUUCAAUUAUCUUUCAACUGUGUACAGCCCUAACAAACUUGCAAUAUUCUCCAAUUAAAGAAGUUGAGGAGUAUUAUUGGUUGGAUCUAUACUGUAGGUUAUGCCAUUAAUGUGAACUGAUUUGAUUAACCAUACGGAGUUAAGCCAAAGUACAUAGACAUAUUAUAAUUUUGAGUUUUAAAUAUUUUUUAUUGUAGCAAUAUAUUCCCUUAUUCGACUUUUUUUGUAAAAAGUUUAGAAAUUUUUAUUUAAAAAAUGUAUAUUUAGAUUUUACUUAAUUUAUAAAUGAAUUGAUUUUUUGUCAGUAGACUACAGUCUUUACAAUCUUCAAAUAAAUUAUUAAGCCACAA